UACGAAGGGGGCUAGCGUUGCUCGGAAUUACUGGGCGUAAAGCGCACGUAGGCGGCUUCUUAAGUCGGUGGUGAAAUCCUGGAGCUCAACUCCAGAACUGCCUUCGAUACUGAGAAGCUCGAGUCCGGGAGAGGUGAGUGGAACUGCGAGUGUAGAGGUGAAAUUCGUAGAUAUUCGCAAGAACACCAGUGGCGAAGGGCGCUCGCUG
rnacentral:rRNA from 1 species